GCCUUCGUGGUGUAGUGGUCAGCACGCUCGGUGCGUAUUGGAGAGAUCCGUGGUUCGAAUCCCGGGGAGGGCA
rnacentral:tRNA from 1 species